rnacentral:rRNA from 1 species
AUUGAACGCUGGCGGCAGGCCUAACACAUGCAAGUCGAACGAGUGGCGGAGGGGAGAGAAAUGUCUGGGACACUGCCCGAUGGAGGGGGAUAACUACUGGAAACGGUAGCUAAUACCGCAUACCAUCGGAUGUGCCCAGAUGGGAUUAGCUAGUAGGUGGGGUAAAGGCUAACCUAGGCGACGAUCCCUAGCCGGUCUGAGAGGAUGACCAGCCACACUGGAACUGAGACACGGUCCAUACUCCUACGGGAGGCAGCAGUGGGGAAUAUUGCACAAUGGGCGCAAGCCUGAUGCAGCCAUGCCGCGUGUAUGAAGAAGGCCUUCGGGCUGUAAAGUACUUUCAGCGGGGAGGCGUUACCCGCAGAGGAAGCACCGGCUAACUCCGUGCCAGCAGCCGCGGUAAUAC